rnacentral:rRNA from 1 species
UACGUAGGGUGCAAGCGUUAAUCGGAAUUACUGGGCGUAAAGCGUGCGCAGGCGGUUUUGUAAGUCAGAUGUGAAAUCCCCGGGCUUAACCUGGGAACUGCGUUUGAAACUACAAGGCUAGAGUGUGACAGAGGGGGGUGGAAUUCCACGUGUAGCAGUGAAAUGCGUAGAGAUGUGGAGGAACACCGAUGGCGAAGGCAGCCCCCUGGGUUAACACUGACGCUGACAGCGCGAAAGCUAGGGGAGCGAACGGG